AGAGUUUGAUCCUGGCUCAGGACGAACGCUGGCGGCGCGCUUAACACAUGCAAGUCGUACGGGGGGUUUCGGCCCCCAGUGGCGAACGGGUGCGUAACACGUGAGCAACCUGCCUGUGGGUGGGGGAUAACCCGGGGAAACCCGGGCUAAUACCGCACGAUGUCACCGGAUCGAUUGAUCGGGUGAUGAAAGGGGCUUAACGGCCUCGCCCGCAGAGGGGCUCGCGGCGUAUCAGCUAGUUGGUGGGGUAACGGCCCACCAAGGCAGCGACGCGUAGCCGAUCUGAGAGGAUGAUCGGCCACAUUGGGACUGAGAUACGGCCCAGACUCCUACGGGAGGCAGCAGUGGGGAAUCUUGCGCAAUGGGCGAAAGCCUGACGCAGCGACGCCGCGUGCGGGAGGAAGCCUUUCGGGGUGUAAACCGCUGUCAGGGGGGAAGAAAGGGCCGGGGAGGAAAUGCCCUGGUUUUGACGGUACCUCCAAAGGAAGCACCGGCUAACUCUGUGCCAGCAGCCGCGGUAAUACAGAGGGUGCGAGCGUUGUUCGGAAUUACUGGGCGUAAAGCGCGCGCAGGCGGCCCUUUAAGUCUACCCGUGAAAUGCCGGAGCUCAACUCCGUGCACGCCGGGGGAUACUGGAGGGCUGGAGACAGGUAGAGGCAGGCGGAAUUCCGGGUGUAGCGGUGGAAUGCGUAGAGAUCCGGAAGAACACCAGAGGCGAAGGCGGCCUGCUGGGCCUUGUCUGACGCUGAGGCGCGAAAGCGUGGGGAGCGAACAGGAUUAGAUACCCCGGUAGUCC
rnacentral:rRNA from 1 species